AAGCUGCGUGGCCGCGUUUAAAUUACUGGGCGGCCCCUUUGUACCCUAUAUAUGGGCAGGGGGACGACUACUUUUGGUGCGCUUCCUGUCCCCCCUCCUUUCUGCUGUGACUUCCGUGCCGGCAGCGUUCAGCGUGGAGUUUAGCGUGACUGUUUGGAUUACUUCUCAUGAGUUUAAGGUAUCUGUUCACAGCAUUACGGGAUAACAUGGUAGUUGGCUUAAUUAUUAACUCCUCGUAUUUGUUUGUAGUCGCGGGCUCGUAUUCGAUUGCCGGCUCAGCGCUGUGGUAUGCAUCUCUGAUGUUGCCUGGGCACUUUCACUUUAGUAAGGAGCUGGGGGCCAAGCAUCUGACUUGGGGAUGCGGAAUUCUAUUCACCUUUCCUGUAGUGUGGAGCACGUUGGGUGUGAUUGAGAUGUGUGGCACUGACAUGUGUGGUUUGUAGUGUAGAGGAUAUUCCUAUCCCUGUACUUCCUUCUGUCGUGGUAAGCCCUUAACCCAGUUCCUUCCUAAUUUGUUGCUGGUAAUUUAAAUUAUUAAAUUAUUGCUAGUUAUUUUUUUAUAUUGAUUCUCCAAGAAGGGAAUUCCUGGUCUGCCUGGUGGAAAAGAUGUUUUAAAAUAAUUGUCAAUAAAUCUCUAUUAAAUGAUUGUA